CCUACGGGCGGCAGCAGUGAGGAAUUUUGGUCAAUGGACGAGAGUCUGAACCAGCCAAGUAGCGUGAAGGAUGACUGCCCUAUGGGUUGUAAACUUCUUUUAUAUGGGAAUAAAAUGUUCCACGUGUGGGAUUUUGUAUGUACCAUAUGAAUAAGGAUCGGCUAACUCCGUGCCAGCAGCCGCGGUAAUACGGAGGAUCCGAGCGUUAUCCGGAUUUAUUGGGUUUAAAGGGAGCGUAGGUGGAUUGUUAAGUCAGUUGUGAAAGUUUGCGGCUCAACCGUAAAAUUGCAGUUGAAACUGGCAGUCUUGAGUACAGUAGAGGUGGGCGGAAUUCGUGGUGUAGCGGUGAAAUGCUUAGAUAUCACGAAGAACUCCGAUUGCGAAGGCAGUUCACUGGACUGCAACUGACACUGAGGCUCGAAAGUGUGGGUAUCAAACAGGAUUAGAUACCCCAGUAGUC
rnacentral:rRNA from 1 species